CGCCAUUCGCUAUUGUUUUGGUCGUUUUGGUGAUAAUCCGCUUAAUUAUUAUGCAUGACCGAUUUUUCAAGGUUUUAAGAGAAGCGUAGGAGUUGAUUUUGGCAGCAUCCGCAUCUGGAGCAUCUGUUCUUUGCAUUGAUGCCACUGUACGAAGAGAUGGUCUCUGGACCCAAGCCAAAAAACGGGCACGAGUCGGCCAAUCGACAGUGCCGCGGGCAGCGUUGGUUUGGUUGCGGAAGCGUGGCUCCGGCAAGACUCGGUGGCGAGCACAAGUUCUUCGGGCCGAAGCCUGUUCCAGCGGGCCGCCGACAGAGGCGCCAGUCUGCGCGUGCGUGGACAAGUGCCGCGUCGUUCUCACGCGAAUACCUGAGCUGGACGCCCUGACGAAGAACACGCCAUCGGUGCGGCUGCCCCCUGAGGCCACCGAGGCAGACCUCGGCAAGACCCUCAACCACACCAGGUCGAAGUGAAAUUUAAUUCAGGAGACCGAGGAAUUUGUUUUAAUGAAAUCGUCGCUUUUAUUUUUAUUCAGGAUUGAGCCUUCUGUGGAGG